rnacentral:rRNA from 1 species
UACAGAGGUGGCAAGCGUUGUUCGGAAUUACUGGGCGUAAAGGGCGCGUAGGCGGCCCACUAAGUCAGACGUGAAAUCCCCGGCUUAACCUGGGAACUGCGUCUGAUACUGGAGGCUUGAGUAUGGGAGAGGGAUGUAGAAUUCCAGGUGUAGCGGUGAAAUGCGUAGAUAUCUGGAGGAAUACCGGUGGCGAAGGCGGCAUCCUGGACCAUUACUGACGCUGAGGCGGCGAAA